UGCCGCCCUGAAGGGCGUAUGGUGGAUGCCUUGGCAGACAGUACCGAUGAAGGACGUUUGAGGAUGCGAUAAGCCUCGGGGAGCCUCCAACAUGGCUUCGAUCCGAGGAUUUCCGAAUGGGGCAACCCGCCGGCCGUCAUGGGCCGGCACGGAACCUUGUUGUUCCGGGGGUACGCAGGGAAGUGAAACAUCUCAGUACCUGCAGGAAGGGAUACUCCGUGAGUAGUGGCGAGCGAAAGCGGAUCAGACCAAACCAUGGGCGCGUGAUACCCGUCGGGGGUUGCGUUCGUGGUGUUGCGGGAGCGUGUGUCCCGGUUCCGACGGACCGGGCGGGAGUCAUAAAACGGCUUGCCAGGGGAACAGGCUUGAAGGCCUGGCCGCAGAGGGUGCCAGCCCCGUACCUGGAAGCUUGCCGUCUUCCGAUCAUGUGUCCCAAGUAGCGCGGGCCUCGUGGAAUCCCGUGUGAAUCGGCCCCGACCGUGGGGUAAGUCUAAGCAUACCUGUCUGACCGAUAGCGUACCAGUACCGUGAGGGAAAGGUGAAAAGCACCCCGGGAGGGGAGUGAAAGAGUUCCUGAAACCGUGCGCCUACAAUCCGUCGGAGCCUCCUUGUGGGGUGACGGCGUGCCUAUCGAAAAAUGAGUCUGCGAGUCAGUGGUGCGUGGCGAGGCUAACCCGUGGUGGGGGAGCCGUAGCGAAGGCGAGUCUCAAAAGGCGUUUUGAGUCGCGCGCCCUGGACCCGAAGCGGGAUGAUCUAGCCCUGGGCAGGUUGAAGCGCGGGUAAGACCGCGUGGAGGACCGAACCCACCUGGGUUGAAAACCGGGGGGAUGACCUGGGGCUAGGGGUGAAAGGCCAAUCAAAUUCCGUGAUAGCUGGUUCUCUCCGAAAUGCAUUUAGGUGCAGCGUCGGUUGAUUGCAUCGCGGGGGUAGAGCUACUGGAUGCUUGCGGGCCCGUGUCGGGUACCAAUAGCAGCCAAACUCCGAAUACCGUGGAUGUGUAUUCCGGCAGUGAGUCGGCGGGGGAUAAGCUCCGUCGUCGAGAGGGAGACAGCCCAGAUCGUCGUCUAAGGUCCCGAAGCGUGUGCUAAGUGGGAAAGGAUGUGGAGUCGCAUAGACAGCCAGGAGGUUGGCUCAGAAGCAGCCAUCCUUGAAAGAGUGCGUAACAGCUCACUGGUCUAGUGGUUCCGCGCCGACAAUGUAGCGGGGCUCAAGCACACCACCGAAGACGCGGCAGUAUUUUGUACUGGGUAGGAGAGCGUCCCAUGAGGGGCGAAGCGGCCGUGUGAACGCGCCGUGGACUUCAUGGGAGUGAGAAUGCAGACAUGAGUAGCGAGAGACGGGUGAAGAUCCCGUCCGCUGGAUGACCAAGGGUUCCAGGGCCACGUUCAUCGUCCCUGGGUGAGUCGGGUCCUAAGGCGAGGCCGACAGGCGUAGUCGAAUGGAUGAACGGGUGGAUAUUCCCGUACCGGCGGCGUACCGUAAGAGCCGAACGGAUGAGUACUAACCUCCGGUCGCGUGGCGUCGUUCCCUUCGGGGUUCGGGGUCCGCGGUCGUUGGGAGCGUAGUCCUGGUAGGCUAGCGCACAGGGGUGACACGGAAUGGGAGCCGGCCGCGGAGGUGGUUUUCCGUGGUCAAGCACGCAGCCCGUCCCAUAGGCAAAUCCGUGGGACGCAUAGGGUGAGGUGUGAUGAUGGGCGUCCUUUGGACGCGAUAUCCGGUGGUCCAGGCCGUCGAGAAAAGCCUCGGCGCGAGGGGCGUCGCCGCCCGUACCCCAAACCGACACUGGUGGUCAGGUAGAGAAUACCAAGGCGAUCGAGCGAAUCCUGGUCAAGGAACUCGGCAAAUCACUCCCGUGCCUUCGGUAUAAGGGAGACCCCCGGGCGUGAAGAGGCUUGCCCUCGGAGCGUUGGGGGGUGGCACAGACCAGGGGGUAGCGACUGUUUACCAAAAACACAGGUGCAUGCGAAGGCGCAAGCCGCUGUAUAUGCACUGACGCCUGCCCGGUGCCGGAAGGUUAAGAGGAUCCGUCAGCCCCUUUUGGGGUGAAGCGGUGAAUUCAAGCCCCGGUAAACGGCGGUGGUAACUAUAACCAUCCUAAGGUAGCGAAAUUCCUUGUCGGGUAAGUUCCGACCUGCACGAAUGGCGUA
rnacentral:rRNA from 1 species